UACAGAGGGGGCAAGCGUUAUUCGGAAUUAUUGGGCGUAAAGGGCGCGUAGGCGGCCUGGCAAGUGGAAGGUGAAAUCCCUCGGCUUAACCGAGGAACUGCCUCCCAAACUGCUUGGCUCGAGACCGGGAGAGGUGAGUGGAAUUCCCAGUGUAGCGGUGAAAUGCGUAGAUAUUGGGAGGAACACCAAUGGCGAAGGCAGCUCGCUGGGACGUGACUGACGCUGAGACGCGAAAGCGUGGGGAGCAAACAGG
rnacentral:rRNA from 1 species